AAUUGAAGAGUUUGAUCAUGGCUCAGAUUGAACGCUGGCGGCAGGCCUAACACAUGCAAGUCGAGCGGCAGCGGGAAAGUAGCUUGCUACUUUUGCCGGCGAGCGGCGGACGGGUGAGUAAUGCCUGGGGAUCUGCCCAGUCGAGGGGGAUAACUACUGGAAACGGUAGCUAAUACCGCAUACGCCCUACGGGGGAAAGCAGGGGACCUUCGGGCCUUGCGCGAUUGGAUGAACCCAGGUGGGAUUAGCUAGUUGGUGAGGUAAUGGCUCACCAAGGCGACGAUCCCUAGCUGGUC
rnacentral:rRNA from 1 species